rnacentral:lncRNA from 7 species
UCCCAGCACCUUCCUAUCAGGCGUGGUUGGGUGGGCUUUUGUGGGUUUUUCUCCACAAGUGCUAGUGCACAAACUUGCAGAAGCUACGUGACGUUAAUGGUGCGUGUGGUGUUGUACUCCGUCUCCGCUCCCUUUGGACUCUGACAUUCAACUCACACACAGUUGCCCGACGGGCUCAGUUUAGCCACCAAAGGGGACCUACUACUAAUGUAAGUGACAGAGAUGCUUUUGAACUUCCUCCACGGCUGCACGGUUCCUCAGAAAGCAGUUACGCCUGCCAGCUCAAUCAAAGCCAUCCCUUCGCUGCUGUCCUGGACAGCUGUGCAGCUUUUGCUCGCAUGCUCUGCAUCUUGCUUGACAUGGUUGAGGGGAAUGUAGCCAGCAAGACUCCUGGGCUAUGCUCUAGGAAUGGAACCAUCCUCAACUGUGUGAAACGGAGCGAGUUUCUAAGUUGUGUUUCAGCAGGAACCAGGCAGUGCUAGGAACAAGCAAGUGUUGGCAAGAGCUCAGGGCAGCUCUUCCCUCACCCUGCACCAUGCACGACUCACACCGCUCACUCUUUUCUCCCUCCAGACCAAGUCCACCCAGCAAGAUGAAGGAACCAGCAGCUGGCAGUUGGUGUUCCUGCUUCAGCCUGAGAGAACCAUCCUCUGUGGCCAAACACCAACUGCAGCACAAUGCCAGGGAGCCCUCAGAAACAGAGAUUGUGGUGGUCCUGGCAGGUAAGGGUGCACAUCCAGCUUUUAAAACACUGCUUGUCAGCGCCAUCGAAUUCAUGCUUUCAGUAGGCUGUACCUCCUUCUAGCGUUCAAGCCCGUGCCCAACAUCUUCAGUUCAGCCCUGUCUUUCUUUCCCAGAUGAGUCUCUUGUGAAGUCAAGAUCUGGACCUGCUGGAGGACCCCUGUCUCGUGUCUUUCCCCGAGUAGUUUUUGAAAGACAGGAGAUGGGCACCACUGCAAUAUGUUUCAGACUGAUUCCUUCUGACAUUUAUUAUGGAGGCCUUGUGGCUCCAGGUUUCCAUUGUAUCAGCAGGCACACAUUUAAACUUUGUAACACUGCAACAGGGUGAAGGUUGUUUGCAAGGGCUUUGGAGUCCAAACAAAAGAGAAAGAAAAAGAACAAAAGCACAGCAGUUCCUUUCAAGAUAGUGGUACUACUGUUGCUAUUGUCCUAUUGGCUUUGUCCUGCUGCCGCUACAUAAGCAAAUCUCAAGAACCACUCUCAUCAUUCAGCGUGUGGAAGUUUGACACUAACUCCUGUGUAUCUACUCCUUCUUAGGUGAAUCGAGCCCUCGUCCACGUAGAAGAGCCAGAGCGUAUAGCGAUGGUUCACUGUGUGCUUCCAUCAGUGCAGAGCUGCUAGGAAGCACGAAUCGCUGCAGCUCGGAUGAUAGCCUUC